rnacentral:rRNA from 1 species
ANCNUACAGGAGGCAGCNGUGNGGAAUCUUGCGCAANGGUCGAAAGCCUGACGCAGCACACCGCGUGCCGGAAGACGUCCCUNAGGGUUGUAANCGGCUUUUAGACGGGAAGAACGUUUGGGUUUUGACCUGGAGNGACGGUACCUUNUGANUAAGCACCGGCUAACUCCGUGCCAGCAGCCGCGGUAAUACGGAGGGUGCGAGCUUUGUCCGGAAUCAUUGGGUGUAAAGGGUGCGUAGGCGGGAGCUUAAGUCUGUGGUGNAAUCUUGCCGCUUCGGUAAAAUGGCCAUGGAUACUGGGUUUCUUGAGUGCAGAAGAGGUUGGUGGAAUUCGUAGUGUAGCGGUGAAAUGCAUAGAUAUUACGAAGAACAUCAGUGGCGAAGGCGGCCAACUGGACUGCAACUGACGCUGAGGCACGAAAGCGUGGGGAGCGAACAGGAUUAGAUNCCCUGGUAGUCCACGCUGUAAACGAUGCNUANUAGGUGUNGNCCUUGGGNCCGGUGCCGCAGUNCNCNCNG